rnacentral:rRNA from 1 species
GCCUGCGGAAGGAUCAUUACAGUAGUCGCCCGGGUUGCCGCAAGGCCUCCCGGGUAACCUACCACCCUUUGUUUAUUACACUUUGUUGCUUUGGCAGGCCUGCCCUCGGGCUGCUGGCUCCGGCCGGCGAGCGCUUGCCAGAGGACCUAAACUCUGUUUGUCUAUAUCGUCUGAGUACUAUAUAAUAGUUAAAACUUUCAACAACGGAUCUCUUGGUUCUGGCAUCGAUGAAGAACGCAGCGAAAUGCGAUAAGUAAUGUGAAUUGCAGAAUUCAGUGAAUCAUCGAAUCUUUGAACGCACAUUGCGCCCCCUGGUAUUCCGGGGGGCAUGCCUGUCCGAGCGUCAUUACAACCCUCAAGCUCAGCUUGGUAUUGGGCCCCGCCGCUCCGGCGGGCCCUAAAGUCAGUGGCGGUGCCGUCCGGCUCCGAGCGUAGUAAUUCUUCUCGCUCUGGAGGUCCGGUCGUGUGCUCGCCAGCAACCCCCAAUUUUUUUCAGGUUGACCUCGGAUCAGGUAGGGAUACCCGCUGAACUUAAGCAUAUCAUAGGCCCGAAAAAAUCAUUACAGUAGUCGCCCGGGUUGCCCAAGGCCUCCGGGUAACCUACCACCCUUUGUUUAUUACACUUUGUUGCUUUGGCAGGCCUGCCUCGGGCUGCUGGCUCGGCCGGCGAGCGCUUGCCAGAGGACCUAAACUCUGUUUGUCUAUAUCGUCUGAGUACUAUAUAAUAGUUAAAACUUUCA